rnacentral:pre_miRNA from 11 species
AUUGCUCACUCUUUCUCAAGGGCUUCUAGCAUUGCCAGUAACAAAAUGGCAAGCUCGAAGUCUUUGGGGAGAGUGGACAA